rnacentral:rRNA from 1 species
UGGGGAAUAUUGGACAAUGGGCGAAAGCCUGAUCCAGCCAUGCCGCGUGUGUGAUGAAGGUCUUCGGGUUGUAAAGCACUUUAAGCUGGGAGGAAGGGCAUUAACCUAAUACGUUAGUGUUUUGACGUUACCGACAGAAUAAGCACCGGCUAACUCUGUGCCAGCAGCCGCGGUAAUACAGAGGGUGCAAGCGUUAAUCGGAAUUACUGGGCGUAAAGCGCGCGUAGGUGGUUUGUUAAGUUGGAUGUGAAAGCCCCGGGCUCAACCUGGGAACUGCAUUCAAAACUGACAAGCUAGAGUAUGGUAGAGGGUGGUGGAAUUUCCUGUGUAGCGGUGAAAUGCGUAGAUAUAGGAAGGAACACCAGUGGCGAAGGCGACCACCUGGACUGAUACUGACACUGAGGUGCGAAAGCGUGGGGAGCAAACA